CAUUUCUUCAGAACUGAAGCUGGAAAAGCAGGAUCGACCAUGAAGCGGUCAUCUUCUUCUCCGUCCUACUCCCACGCGCCAUGGCAAUCCUUCUGGUGAUCGUGUGCUGCUGCUCCCUGUUGCCAUUCCCAUGCUGUGCCGUUUGCAAAGGGCAUGCAUUUGGCGACUUUGGUCAGGGGGCUGAGGCCGGGCCAAGGGUAGGAGGAGACCAAUUUGAUCAGAGGGGUGGGGAGGAAGGGCCUGGGAGAGGAGGAAACCAAUUUGAUCAGGAGGGUGGGGAGGCAGCGCCAGGGGGAGAAGGAAACCCUGUUGGUCAGGGGUCUGGGUUGAGUGGAGGAAACCAAGUAGGACGGACGCCUCCGGCACCGCGGGGUAAGACACCGAGGAACCACAGGUGAUAUGGCGACUCCUGCCAUGACGUUCAUCUGGCGCCCCUGGCGGUUAUUGGAAGGUGAUGGCUGCUGGUUUUCCUAGGAGUAGUUUGGGAGGAUGCUUAUCUAUGGCACAGGUGCUGCCUUUCGGUUGUAGUUUGUGCUAUUUUCCCAAACUUUUUUAAACAUUUGUAUCACGUGCGAGGUUUUUUCUUCUUCUCAUUGUUGUUGUUCAAGAGCGAGCAUUCGCACUGGGUUUCUUAUUGGUGCUCCAA